GACGAAGGAUGCAAGCGUUAUCCGGAUUCAUUGGGUUUAAAGGGAGCGUAGGUGGCCUUAUAAGUCAGUGGUGAAAUCUCUGGGCUUAACCCAGAAAUUGCCAUUGAUACUGUAGGGCUUGAGUAUAGUUGCCGUUGGCGGAAUAUGACAUGUAGUGGUGAAAUACAUAGAGAUGUCAUAGAACACCGAUUGCGAGGGCAGCUAACGAAACUAUAACUGACACUGAGGCUCGAAAGUGCGGGGAUCAAACAGG
rnacentral:rRNA from 1 species